rnacentral:rRNA from 1 species
GAGUUUGAUCGUGGCUCAGAAUGAACGCUGGCGGCGUGCUUAACACAUGCAAGUCGAGCGAGGCGGAAGGGGCAACUCUUCCAGUCGAGCGGCGGGACGGGUGAGUAACACGUGGGCAAUCUGCCCGAAAGUGGGGAAUACCCCAGGGAAACUUGGGCUAAUACCGCAUGUGAUCGCGACCUCGAGAGGGGAUGCGAUCAAAGGGGGGUCGCAAGACCUCCCGCUUUCGGAGGAGCCCGCGCCCGAUUAGCUAGUUGGUGAGGUAAUGGCUCACCAAGGCUUCGAUCGGUAGCCGGCCUGAGAGGGUGAUCGGCCACACCGGAACUGAGACACGGUCCGGACUCCUACGGGAGGCAGCAGUGGGGAAUCUUGCGCAAUGGGCGAAAGCCUGACGCAGCAACGCCGCGUGAAGGAUGAAGGUCCUUGGAUUGUAAACUUCUGUCGGCCGGGAAGAAAUU